UACGUAGGGGGCAAGCGUUGUCCGGAUUUAUUGGGCGUAAAGCGCGUGUAGGCGGCUUGGCAAGUCGGAUGUGAAAGCCCAGGGCUCAACCCUGGAAGUGCACUCGAAACUGCCGAGCUGGAGUCCCGGAGAGGAAGGCGGAAUUCUCGGUGUAGAGGUGAAAUUCGUAGAUAUCGAGAGGAACACCUGUGGCGAAGGCGGCCUUCUGGACGGUGACUGACGCUGAGACGCGAAAGCGUGGGGAGCAAACAGG
rnacentral:rRNA from 1 species